rnacentral:rRNA from 1 species
UACGUAGGUGGCAAGCGUUGUCCGGAAUUACUGGGCGUAAAGCGUGCGCAGGCGGUUUUGUAAGUCAGGUGUGAAAUCCCCGGGCUCAACCUGGGAAUGGCAUUUGGGACUGCAAGGCUGGAGUGCGGCAGAGGAGACUGGAAUUCCUGGUGUAGCAGUGAAAUGCGUAGAUAUCAGGAGGAAUACCGAUGGCGAAGGCAGGUCUCUGGGCUGACACUGACGCUCAUGCACGAAAGCGUGGGGAGCAAACAGG